rnacentral:lncRNA from 1 species
AAGACAUGUGCUCUUCCGAUUUCGCGGGAUACGGCCUCGUUUCGGCGGGGUCCUCGUGGCCGCCAGUGAAAUACCACUACACUCAUAGUUUCUUUACUUACUCGGUGGAGCGGGAAGCGGACCAAUGAGUUGUCCACGCUUCUAGCGCUAAGCGAUGGGCCCCCGGUCUCCCUUCGCGGUUGUGCCGGUUGGGCCUGCGCGACCUGUUCCGAGGGCAGUGUCAGGCGGGGAGUUUGGAUUGGGGCAGUACAUCUGUCAAACGGUAACGCAGGUGUCCUAAGGCGAGCUCAGCGAGGACAGAAACCUCGCGUAGA